UGCCCAGCAACUCAUAUCCCUACCUCCUCGCGGUACCGGCCGGAAACUAUACGACUCAUUGAUAUCGCGCCUCCAAAAAUAUG
rnacentral:ribozyme from 1 species